rnacentral:rRNA from 1 species
UACGGAGGGAGCUAGCGUUAUUCGGAAUUACUGGGCGUAAAGCGCACGUAGGCGGCUUAGUAAGUUAGAGGUGAAAGCCUGGAGCUCAACUCCAGAACUGCCUUUAAGACUGCUUCGCUUGAAUCCAGGAGAGGUGAGUGGAAUUCCGAGUGUAGAGGUGAAAUUCGUAGAUAUUCGGAAGAACACCAGUGGCGAAGGCGGCUCACUGGACUGGUAUUGACGCUGAGGUGCGAAAGCGUGGGGAGCAAACAGG